rnacentral:rRNA from 1 species
GACGAACGCUGGCGGCGUGCUUAACACAUGCAAGUCGAACGCUGAAGCUUGGUGCUUGCACUGGGUGGAUGAGUGGCGAACGGGUGAGUAAUACGUGAAUAACCUGCCCUUGACUCUGGGAUAAGCCUGGGAAACUGGGUCUAAUACUGGAUACGACAUGUCACCGCAUGGUGGUGUGUGGAAAGGGUUUUACUGGUUUUGGAUGGGCUCACGGCCUAUCAGCUUGUUGGUGGGGUAAUGGCUCACCAAGGCGACGACGGGUAGCCGGCCUGAGAGGGUGACCGGCCACACUGGGACUGAGACACGGCCCAGACUCCUACGGGAGGCAGCAGUGGGGAAUAUUGCACAAUGGGCGGAAGCCUGAUGCAGCGACGCCGCGUGAGGGAUGACGGCCUUCGGGUUGUAAACCUCUUUCAGCACGGAAGAAGCGAAAGUGACGGUACGUGCAGAAGAAGCGCCGGCUAACUACGUG